rnacentral:tRNA from 1 species
GGCCCGCUAGCUCAAUUGGCAGAGCAACUGACUCUUAAUCAGUAGGUUGAAGGUUCGAUUCCUUUGCGGGUCA